GACGAACGCUGGCAGCGUGCCUAAUACAUGCAAGUAGGCCGCAGUUUCGAACGGGUGAGUAACGCGUAGGUACUACCUAUUAGAGGGGGAUAACUAUUGGAAACGAUAGCUAAUACCGCAUACUUGUCGAUGGACCUGCGUUGUAUUAGCUAGUAGGUAGGUUAAUGGCCUACCUAGGCAACGAUAAAUAGCCACCCGGAGAGGUUGAGCGGCAAAGCUGGGAGUGAGAAACGUCACAGACGCCUGAGGGAGGCAGCAGUAGGGAAUCUUCGGCAAUGGUGGGAAGCAUGACCGAGCAACGCCGCGUGAGUGAAGAAGGUUUGCGGAUCUUAAAGCUCUGUUGUUAAGGAAGCGGUACUUAACCAGAAGGGGAAGGCUAACUACGUGCCAGCAGCCGCGGUAAUAC
rnacentral:rRNA from 1 species